GACCGCUACGGUGGCUAGUGGUUAGAGCGUCCGCUUCUGAUGCGAGAGGUCGUGGGUUCGAACCACGGCUGAGUCA